GACGAACGCUGGCGGCGUGCUUAACACAUGCAAGUCGAACGGAAAGGCCCUGCUUUUGUGGGGUGCUCGUGUGGCGAACGGGUGAGUAACACGUGGGUAACCUGCCCUUGACUUUGGGAUAACUUCAGGAAACUGGGGCUAAUACCGGAUAGGAGCUCCUGCUGCAUGGUGGGGGUUGGAAAGUUUCGGCGGUUGGGGAUGGACUCGCGGCUUAUCAGCUUGUUGGUGGGGUAGUGGCUUACCAAGGCUUUGACGGGUAGCCGGCCUGAGAGGGUGACCGGCCACAUUGGGACUGAGGUACGGACCAGACUGCAACGUGAGGCAACAGUGGAAAAUAUUGCGCAAUGGGCGGAAGCCUGAUGCAACGACGCCGCGUGCGGGAUGACGGCCUUCGGGUUGUAAACCGCUGUCGCCUGUGACGAAGCGUGAGUGACGGUAAUGGGUAAAAAAGCACCGGCUAACUACGUG
rnacentral:rRNA from 1 species